rnacentral:tRNA from 1 species
GCCCCUAUAGCUCAGUUGGUAGAGCUGCUGACUUUUAAUCAGUAGGUCCUAGGUUCGAGUCCUAGUGGGGGCACGA